CACUGCCUGCAUUCUAAUCUAUAGCUGAUUGGAUGACAUUGCUGAUGAUUCAAUGCGUAGAGAUAUUUCUAUCUUGCUUUUUGUUAAGUUUUACUGAUGGUCACAAGUAAAUAGAGAAAGCAUUAGAUCCGGACCUUUCUUGCUCUCAAAGGUAUAUCCAGAAUCAUAGGUCUGCCCCCUCAUUCGUAGCUCUGUAUCAGUGUUUGUCCUCCCUCGCAUUCAUCCUUUCUUGGAUCAGCUAGAUUUCCCACUUCACCUUAACAGCAUGUUGUUAGACUUCCGACACUUUUAUCCCACUUUUUCUUUCCAGAUCCUUGACUCUUUGCAACAAGUUUCAAAUAGUUGUUGCAAGAAAGGCUUGUACUUGUGAAGAUAGAGAACUCACAUACUAAAAUUUUUAGUGAUAGUGGGCAUCUCUUGCCCUGGAUAUUUUCUAUGGAAAGUUUAAACCUUUUUUUUCUGAUAUACUAUAACAUGUCAAUCAUAUGGAUUCUUGAUAUGCUGGUUAAUCACUGUUAAUAGAUUUUUUUUGAAAGCUCUCUAGGAGCGCUAAUUGCUGUGUGCUCACAGGUUUUAUUGUUCCACGACCAUGGACAUGUUUGAGGAAUAAAAAUGUUGAUACUUUUUUAGUAGUUAAUCACUCUUAUUUUCUCAUAUCCUUAAAAAGCAAUUAGAAUAUGUCAACAUUAUUUAUCACCAUUCUAUGAUCUUAUUGAAGUUUUAUCAAUAAGUAGUGCUUUGCUAUUCACACAGACAAUUUUAUUUAGCAUGUUCAUUCGAUAGAAAAUUUUAUCAUUGUUUAUCUUUCUUAUAUUUGAACCUAUUCCUUAUAAAGAUGUUUUAAGAUCAAUGAGGUGCCACAAUCAUGUCUCUUCAGUCAAAUUGUAUCCAUGAAUUUAUGUGUUACAAGUUCUAGAGCCAUAAAAAGAAAUGAAAAGAAAACACUGAAAUUGAAACCUCUUCGUAGCUUUGUUUCCAGACACGACCAUGAAUAAUUGGCAUGAACUGCUUUUCUUAAGUGAGAUAAUAUUCUUCUGUGCUUGCACAUAAUUGAUACUGUAACUGGAUAUUUGGUAAACCUCUGGAGCCUGAAGUGCAUGACAACUGAUUUUAUUGUAUUUUCUUGAUUUGUCCACUCAUUUCUCAUAAAAGACAUUAAUUUCAAGAAACUGUGAUGAAAAGUUUGCACGCAAAUGGACAAUCGUUGUGCAUAUCACGACUUAUGAUAAAUAUCAUAGUAGUCUUGUCUUUGACUUGCCAAAGCUUGUUUGGAUUAUCUUUUUUUGGGAUUAAGGCUGUUUGACUUGAAGGAAAGGGAAAGCCACGGUUCAUCUUUGGGUUUUGCUUGGAUAUCUCCUUUUCCCUCCUUGCUGUUUCCUUUGUUAUUGUGGAGCUUUUUCACGUAUAGUUUUGCUUCUUUUAUUGCAGGCAAAGUCUACAAGCUACUCUGCCUUUUUGAGACAGAUUUUUCCAAAUAUUCAGCAAAUCGACUCCAGUGUGUUUGCUUAGAAGUUUGCUGAGUCCUGAGUUGUGGUUGGACAGCUCUCUCUACAAGGUGCCAUUAUGCUACAAAUUUUUCUUUCAGGAGAGAAAACUGCUUUUGCAAGGACAUUAGGGAUGCAAAUUUAGGCAUUAUUCUGGUAUCGUAUAUUAUUUACAAGUACCAGAAAUUUUCAAAGGAGUCGUAUUUUGUUGUUUGUUUUGAUUUCUCAGGCAAAGCUUAUUUACCCUUUUUUUUUCCUCCAUGGUUCUUUAUGAAAGUUCUUUAGUUCUCUCCACCAACAUCACAUUUAAAGUGACUAUACUGUUGUUUCCCAUUUAAUCGUCUGUUAGUUUUAUUUAUUAUAAAAGUUUUGCUUAUUUUUGGGAAUGUAGGAAGAACUCUUCUUCAUAGACAACGAACCUCAUAAUGGGAAAUGAAUUGUGG